rnacentral:rRNA from 1 species
CCUACGGUGGCUGCAGUGGGGAAUAUUGGACAAUGGGUGAAAGCCUGAUCCAGCCAUGCCGCGUGUGUGAAGAAGGCCUUCGGGUUGUAAAGCACUUUCAGUGGGGAAGAAAGCCUUGGGGCUAAUACCCUCGAGGAAGGACAUCACCCACAGAAGAAGCACCGGCUAACUCCGUGCCAGCAGCCGCGGUAAUACGGAGGGUGCGAGCGUUAAUCGGAAUUACUGGGCGUAAAGCGCGCGUAGGCGGUCUGAUAAGCCGGUUGUGAAAGCCCCGGGCUCAACCUGGGAACGGCAUCCGGAACUGUCAGGCUAGAGUGCAGGAGAGGAAGGUAGAAUUCCCGGUGUAGCGGUGAAAUGCGUAGAGAUCGGGAGGAAUACCAGUGGCGAAGGCGGCCUUCUGGACUGACACUGACGCUGAGGUGCGAAAGCGUGGGUAGCAAACAGGAUUAGAUACCCGUGUAGUC